rnacentral:sRNA from 1 species
GCCCAGACCUGAUGGAAGCGGCAUCCUCCCGCCCUGGCGGGAGAUAAAGCGCACAGCAGGAACUGCG